rnacentral:rRNA from 1 species
UGACUGUGCUCUAUGGGGCAAGGAAGGAAUGGAACAGAACAGGUCCGUUAUGCCCUGAGAUGAAGCGGGCGGCACGCGCACUACGAUAGAUGCCUAUGUGGGCUACUGUGAGGGAUGAAGCUGUGUAAUGGGCUUCUGAACGUGGAAUUCCUAGUAAGAAUGAUUGAACAAGUUAUUUUGAACGUGUCCCUGUCCUUUGUACACACCGCCCGUCGCUAUCUAAGAUGACGCAGUGGACGAAGAU